GAUGAACGCUGGCGACAGGCUUAACACAUGCAAGUCGAGGGGAAACGACGGGUAAGCUUUCUUCGCCGGGCGUCGACCGGCGCACGGGUGAGUAACGCGUAUCCAACCUUCCUCUGACUGAGGGAUAACCCGUCGAAAGUCGGCCUAAUACCCCAUGGCAUCGUCUGCGGGCAUCCAACGACGAUCAAAGAUUUCAUCGGUCAGGGAUGGGGAUGCGUCUGAUUAGCUUGUUGGAGGGGUAGCGGCCCACCAAGGCCACGAUCAGUAGGGGUUCUGGGAGGAGGGUCCCCCACAUUGGAACUGCGACACGGUCCAAACUACUACGGGAGGCAGCAGUGGGGAGUAUUGGUGAAGGGUCGGGCGCCUGAACCGGCCAAGUAGCGUGCAAGAUGACCGCGCGAUGGGUUGUAAACUGCUUUUAUGCGGGGAUAAAGUGAGGGACGUGUCCUUCAUUGCGGGAACCGCAUGAAAAAGGACGGGUUACUACCGU
rnacentral:rRNA from 1 species